rnacentral:RNase_P_RNA from 1 species
CCGGGGAGCCGGGCGACCGCGUCUGCCUGCAAGAAGUUGCAGGACAGCCGAGGAAAGUCCGGGCUCCACGAAACAAGGGCGGCGGGUAACGCCCGCCAGGGCGGGAAUGCUUGCAUUCUUGCUCAAGGGAAAGUGCCACAGAAAGCAAACCGCCGAUGGCCCGGCUCUCUUGGGAGUUCGGGCACAGGCAAGGGUGAAAGGGUGCGGCAAGAGCGCACCGGGGCGCUGGCGACAGCGCCCGCGCGGCAAACCCCGCCUGGAGCAAGACCGAAUAGGGUCGGCGCGCCCUGGCCUUUGGUCGGGGCAGGCGGGUUUCGCGCCGAGUCGUCCGGGUUGGUCGCUGGAGCGGCGCAGCAAUGCGUCGCCGAGAGGAAUGGUCGCCAUCCCGGAAAGGGUCCGCGCAAGCGGAUACCGUCUGGGAUACAGAACCCGGCUUACAGGCUCCCCGGCACC